rnacentral:rRNA from 1 species
UACGUAGGGUGCAAGCGUUGUCCGGAAUUAUUGGGCGUAAAGAGCUCGUAGGCGGUUUGUUGCGUCUGCCGUGAAAGUCCGGGGCUCAACUCCGGAUCUGCGGUGGGUACGGGCAGACUAGAGUGAUGUAGGGGAGACUGGAAUUCCUGGUGUAGCGGUGAAAUGCGCAGAUAUCAGGAGGAACACCGAUGGCGAAGGCGGGUCUCUGGGCAUUAACUGACGCUGAGGAGCGAAAGCAUGGGGAGCGAACAGG